GACGAACGCUGGCGGCGUGCCUAAUACAUGCAAGUAGAACGCUGAAGGAGGAGCUUGCUUCUCCGGAUGAGUUGCGAACGGGUGAGUAACGCGUAGGUAACCUGCCUGGUAGCGGGGGAUAACUAUUGGAAACGAUAGCUAAUACCGCAUAAGAGUAGAUGUUGCAUGACAUUUGCUUAAAAGGUGCAAUUGCAUCACUACCAGAUGGACCUGCGUUGUAUUAGCUAGUUGGUGGGGUAACGGCUCACCAAGGCGACGAUACAUAGCCGACCUGAGAGGGUGAUCGGCCACACUGGGACUGAGACACGGCCCAGACUCCUACGGGAGGCAGCAGUAGGGAAUCUUCGGCAAUGGACGGAAGUCUGACCGAGCAACGCCGCGUGAGUGAAGAAGGUUUUCGGAUCGUAAAGCUCUGUUGUAAGAGAAGAACGAGUGUGAGAGUGGAAAGUUCACGCUGUGACGGUAUCUACCAG
rnacentral:rRNA from 1 species